CAGUCGCCGCGGUAAUACGAAGGGUGCAAGCGUCAAUCGGAAUUACUGGGCGUAAAGCGUGCGUAGGCGGUGAGUUAAGUCUGCUGUGAAAUCCCCGGGCUCAACCUGGGAAUGGCAGUGGAUACUGGCUCGCUAGAGUGUGUCAGAGGAUGGUGGAAUUCCCGGUGUAGCGGUGAAAUGCGUAGAGAUCGGGAGGAACAUCAGUGGCGAAGGCGGCCAUCUGGGACAACACUGACGCUGAGGCACGAAAGCGUGGGGAGCAAACAGGAUUAGAUACCCCCGUAGUCCCUGUCUCUUAUAC
rnacentral:rRNA from 1 species